rnacentral:rRNA from 1 species
GACGAAGGUGGCGAGCGUUGUUCGGAAUCACUGGGCCUAAAGCGCACGUAGGUGGCGCCGUAAGUCGGAUGUGAAAUCCCUCGGCCCAACCGAAAAACUGCGUCCGAUACUGCAAUGCUUGAGGGUCAAAGGGGUGCAUGGAAUUCCCGGUGGAGCGGUGAAAUGCGUUGAUAUCGGGAGGAACGCCGGCGGCGAAAGCGGUGCACUGGUUGACUUCUGACACUCAUGUGCGAAAGCCAGGGGAGCAAACGGG